UUAUUAAAGAAAGGUAGGCUGGGGACCUUUUAAGAAAAGAAACCUUUGAACCGGGUCAGGACUGGAAAGUAGCAGCCCUAAAAAGUGCUCUCUUUUGCUAGAAGAAUUUCUCCAGCUUGCUUUUUCCUUAAUAA
rnacentral:sRNA from 1 species